GUGGGGAAUAUUGGGCAAUGGGCGCAAGCCUGACCCAGCCAUGCCGCGUGAGUGAUGAAGGCCUUCGGGUCGUAAAGCUCUGUGGGGAGGGACGAAACCACCAGGGAAUAAUACGCCUUGGUGCUGACGGUACCUCCUUAGCAAGCACCGGCUAACUCCGUGCCAGCAGCCGCGGUAAUACGGAGGGUGCAAACGUUGCUCGGAAUCAUUGGGCGUAAAGCGCACGUAGGCGGCCCGUCAAGUCGGAUGUGAAAUCCCUCGGCUCAACCGAGGAAGUGCAUUCGAAACUGUCAGGCUCGAGUAGGGAAGAGGGUCUCGGAAUUCCCGGUGUAGAGGUGAAAUUCGUAGAUAUCGGGAGGAACACCAGUGGCGAAGGCGGAGACCUGGGCCCAUACUGACGCUGAGGUGCGAAAGCGUGGGGAGCAAACAGGAUUAGAAACCCGUGUAGUCC
rnacentral:rRNA from 1 species